rnacentral:lncRNA from 1 species
UAGUUUUUGAUGAUGAAGAAGAAAGCAAGUUGACCUAUACAGAAAUCCAUCAAGAGUACAAAGAGCUGGUUGAAAAGCUGUUAGAAAGUUACCUCAAAGAAAUUGGAAUUAAUGAAGAUCAGUUUCAAGAAGCAUGCACUUCCCCUCUGGCAAAGACGCGCACAUCACAGGUGCCAUUUUGCAGCCUGUGUUGGCAGCAGAAGAUUUUACUAUCUUUAAAGCAAUGAUGGUCCAGAAGAACAUUGAAAUGCAGCUUCAAGCCAUCCGAAUAAUCCAGGAGAGAAAUGGUGUGUUACCUGACUGCUUAACUGACGGGGCAGAUGUGGUCAGUGAUCUUGAACAAGAAGAGAUGAAAAUUCGUUAUUAAUAAGUAAUGUGAAAAACUAGCAAAACAGAAACCCAAAUUUUCUUAAAAAUAAAUUAUUUAAUCCUUAAAGACUAUUAGUUUCAAGCAAAUACUUGGUUUUCUAAAUGCAACUGUGAACUAUUAUUAAACAGGUAAAGGGCAAGAGGUAUGGUGGUGCAUGCCUAUAAUCCUAGCACCCACGCUAGGAUGCUGAAGGAGGAGGAUCAGGAGCUCUUGGUCCUUUCCAGUGUCAGAGCAAAUUGGAGGCCAGCCUAGGUUACAUGAAUCUGUCUCAAAUAACCAAAAUAAAUAAAUUU